rnacentral:rRNA from 1 species
GACGAACGCUGGCGGCGUGCCUAAUACAUGCAAGUCGUGCGGACCUUUUAAAAUCUUGCUUUUAAAAGGUUAGCGGCGGACGGGUGAGUAACACGUGUGCAAUCUGCCUGUAAGACUGGGAUAACGCCGGGAAACCGGGGCUAAUACCAGAUCAUCUUUUCCUCCGCAUGGAGGAAAAAGGAAAGGCGGCGUCUGCUGCCACAUACACAGUGUCCCGCGGCGUAUUAGCUAGUUGGCGUGGCAACGGCGCACCAAGGCAACGAUGCGGAGCCGACCGGAGAGGGUGAUCGGCCACAUUGGGACGGAGACACGGCCCAUAGUCCUAGGGGAGGCGGCAGUAGGGAAACUGCGGCCAGGGACGAAAGUCUGUCCGAGCAAGGCCGAGUGAGGGAAGAAGGCCGUCGGGUCGUAAAACUCUGUUGGCGGGGAAGAAAGCGGGUCGGUCGGAGAGGGAGGGCGAUUGACGGUAACGGGCAAGAAAGCACCGGCUAACUACGUG